CAUCCUGAGACAGAGUGACCUGCUUUGUCCUGCCCUGGCCCUCUGAAUCCCUCUAGGUCUCCCUAGAAAAAUAGGGAUCUGCAGACCCUGUGGGUACAAUAAUAAAGGAAAAACUACAAGGUACGGAAGAGGAAAUACACAAGAAAGCAGAAGUAGGUCCUGGUUCUUAUCCAGACCAUGAGGCCAUCACCACCGUCAGUUAACCCUGGAGGGGCUCCUUCCUUGCAACGAGGUCAAAUUCACAGUGUGCAAAGCAGGACCGGCCAAAGCCCUCACUUGAUUAUAGCUUAAUCCUAAUCUGAUGAGGUUUGGGUGCAAAGCUCUCUCAGGUUAACAGUGACCGGAGGAUCCCUGCGCUUUAGGACAUGGCUUUCUACCUUAAGGUCCCAGCAAGCUCUUUUUGGUGUUGGUGUUGGAAGUCUCACGUUGGCUGAGCAAGUGCUGUACCACCAAGCCACAUCUCCAAGCCCACACAGGAAGCCUCGUUAAAAAAUGAAAUGAAACACCAGAGCACAUCCAACACUGAGAAAGAGAAAAACAAACGUUGGCCACCACAGCUGGAAAGUUCUGGAUGGGGUAAAGACAGACAUCACCAGGGCAGGAUGUAAAAACCACAGUCUGAGCUCUGGAUGGGGAAGGCGAUCCACAAAGAGCACUCAGCAUGCAUAAAAUCUCCUCUUGGCACUUAAAUGUUUACGGGUAAAUGAAUCAUUCCUCUCCUAUGUGUGACCUUACGAUGUUUGUCACUGAGCUUAUAGAUUCCAGGAACCUGGGGGACACUUAACUCUCUCAGUGCCUGCCCCAGAGCUGAACUUAACAAUAGGAUCUUAGAGCUGAGUAAAACCUGCUUCAAUUGUUGGGGAUCUUUGUUUUUUCUUAUUUCUUUAUUUACAUCCCA